AUGCCGGACAGCGGAGGCACAACCGUGCUCGACGACCUCCCGGAGUGGAUCCUUGUGGAAGAGAUUUUCGUCCGUUUGCCGCCCAGGGACAUCGUCCGCUGCCGAGCCGUCCGCAGGUGGUGGCGAAGUGCCACCUCCACCGACAAGUUCAUGCUGGACCACCACCGCCGCCAGCCCUUCCUCCCGAUCCUCAGCCACGUCGUUGAACCGCAGAAAACCAGCCUCAUGUUAUCCUUUGACGCCGAAGCAGUCCAGCAACGGCUCUGCCCGGUCAUCCGGACCUUAUACUCCGGUAUACUCGAGGCUACGUGUGAUGGCCUCCUCAUCGUCUCCCACGGAGCCACGGUGCAUGAGUUCUUCAAUCUGCAACCCGAUGGCACUCUUGCUUUGUGUGGCAUCAGCAGUGAUAGAGUCACCAUAGAUAUUUGGGUGGUACAAGCCUAUGAUGAUGAAGCCUGGUCCUUCAAGCAUCGGAUUAAUUUAUCAGGGAUGGAUGAAUCACCAUUUGUUGACUUGAAGGUUCCUAGAAUGGCUGUGCUCAGUGAUGGUGAGCUGCUGAUCCAGUUUGCUCCUACGCAUGUGGUUCGCUAUGACAUCGAUGGCAGAUUUGUAGAAUAUGUGAAAAGCGAAGAGGACCAAGACAAGAACUUGUGGCUUACCAGGCAUCGCCUCCAGGAGAGCCUUAUUCCCCUUCCAUUAUCCAACGAGAUGCAAGAAGGAGGUGCUGCAAGUGUGGAGCCUCCAUUCUUCAUAGGGCUAUAG
rnacentral:rRNA from 1 species